rnacentral:rRNA from 1 species
GAUGAACGCUGGCGGUGUGCCUAAUACAUGCAAGUCGAGCGAAUGGAUUAAGAGCUUGCUCUUAUGAAGUUAGCGGCGGACGGGUGAGUAACACGUGGGUAACCUGCCCAUAAGACUGGGAUAACUCCGGGAAACCGGGGCUAAUACCGGAUAACAUUUUGAACCGCAUGGUUCGAAGUUGAAAGGCGGCCUCGGCUGUCACUUAUGGAUGGACCCGCGUCGCAUUAGCUAGUUGGUGAGGUAACGGCUCACCAAGGCAACGAUGCGUAGCCGACCUGAGAGGGUGAUCGGCCACACUGGGACUGAGACACGGCCCAGACUCCUACGGGAGGCAGCAGUAGGGAAUCUUCCGCAAUGGACGAAAGUCUGACGGAGCAACGCCGCGUGAGUGAUGAAGGCUUUCGGGUCGUAAAACUCUGUUGUUAGGGAAGAACAAGUGCUAGUUGAAUAAGCUGGCACCUUGACGGUACCUAACCAGAAAGCCACGGCUAACUACGUGCCAGCCGCCGCGGUAA